rnacentral:lncRNA from 1 species
UCGAGGACUAACGAAAGAUGGUUCAAGUCUUACCAAGUCAAACAGGGAGAAGUAAAGAAGACCCUAUAUUAGAAGUAAUCCUAAUUUUAUAAUAAUUGUAAUUAUACCUUAGAUAGGUAGGAUUUCUAGGAGUAUUAUAAAUAGGGAGUUUCGGCCAUUGAUCAAAAGACCCGACACCAUCAAAUUCCUAAACAUUCAUAUCCAUAGCCGAAACACCCUAAGAAGAAUACGAAGAGAGCUUGCGCAACCUUUACAUUCAACUUGGAGAAUUCGGUGCCUUCCAUGUCUUCAUCAACUA